rnacentral:misc_RNA from 1 species
CGCCAUUUUGGAAAAGGUGGCAGAAUUAUGGAGUGUCUGAUGUAAAAGAUGGCUUAAUAAAUACAUGUUCUGUUUUAAGAAGACUCUGGGAAUACAUUAGCACGAUAUGAGUGCCUGUUUCCAGAAGUAUGUUGGUAAACAAGGUAAAAGGAAGAAAACUGAGGACUCAGACACUGAAAGAGCUGCUCCAACACCAACAACAAAUACAGAUGAGGUUGUCAUAUCUGAUGACUCAAAUGGACAUGGGAGGACAGAUAGGCUAAAGAAGCGAAGAAAACGCAAUGAACACGUAGAUAAAGACGAGGAACUAGCAAAAGCUGAACAGUUGAUUCAAAAUGAUUUCGGGAUUACUGUUGAUGAUGGAAUGUCCAGACAGGAAAUUAUUGAACUGGCUAUGGUUCUCCUACAGUCCAAGGAAGAGAGAGAGGAGUCACCAGAUGCCAACAAACCCAGAUCUCUCAAACAAUGUUCUUCAACAACUCGAACUAGGAGAAGCACAUCAGAUGAUGAUGAUUCAUUAGAUUUGAAUGUCCCAAACUCAUCAAUAGGAGAAAGAGGGAAAUCUCCCAUUCUUAACAAACCUCAGUUUUCAAAAGAAGAUAUUAGAAACAGAAGAGGCAAUAAAUCCCCCUGAACCCAGUACAUCGUUUACUGUAGAGGAUGGUGUCGGGAUAUCUCUAAGGAAGAUUUCAAGAAGGAAAGUGACAGGAGAAGGAUGCAAAGAUAACUCACUUGAUGAUGUGAUAUUUAAGGGAGGAAGUGGAGAUGCUGUGGAUGAUGAUGAAAAGGAUCCACCCGGCACGAGGAAUCAAAGGAAGAUUGCUUCAGAGAAGCGUCAGAGGAAGCGAAGACUCACUGACGAGGCUGUUGGUGAUGAAAGUCACAGCUCACAGGAAGCUGACAGUGCUAACACCAGGCUGAAGAAGUCUCGCAAUCUGCUGCUGAACAAGCAGCAGCUGGAGACCAUGCAGGCAAAGACAUCCACUCUGCUGAAGAAGUCAGCUGCCAAAGUCAAGCUGUCUCAGGAGAGUGUGUCAGGUGGCAGCCAGCCCACCCAGACAGUGGAAGUUGAUACAGAAGAAACUCAGGCACCAGGCUCACAGGAGUUAUUUGAAGGAGAAACUAUCCCCAUGGAUUUACCAGGAACAACAGUUUCAGAUGAAGAGGCCGACCACCACAAGGGCAAGACAAGGGCCUUGAGGAGUGAAGGCAAGAAAGUUGCAGCUGCAGAAAAGGAUUCUCUGUUGUCCCCCUUGAUUCCCAUGAAACGCAAAUAUUCAAAAGCUGCGUUACUCAGGAGGUCACAGGAAAAUGACACUUCCAGAAGAAACUACUAUGCUCCUGUCUCUGCUGACCACAUAUCCUACACUAAAGUCAUCAUCCAGCUGUUCGAUAUUUAUUUCCGUAAACUGAGCAAGGAGCAGGUGAAGGCCGACUCUUAUAUUGAAUGGGGGGAAUCAGUUAAACCUGGUAGACAUAUGACCCGUACAAUUGAUGCCAAAGGCCGUGGACAGAAAUCUUAUUCUUGGAGUUCUGAAUCAGAUGAAGAAGUUACAAUUCGUUUUGAAAAAUCCUCCGAUGAAGAAGUUGAGAGCGGCGAAGGCCGUUUAAGAAUUAAAUCCCGGACGGGAGAAAGAUUGUUACGAGCAACAAAAUCCCGGAAGCUCGUCCACAAAAGUAGUUCCCCUGACAGUCCUAAGAGCUCAGAGACUGAUGUGAAUGAACAUAAACGAAUACAGCCACGACGAAUAAUCCCAACACGGAGAGAUCCAUCGAACGAGGAUGAGGAGAGUCUUCCAGAUAUUGGAAUUAGUUCAAGCGACAAACCCCCUGAAGCAGGUCAGUGUCAUUUCAGUGAGGAUGCAGUGGCGGACUCGCCAGUCUUCCCCACGCUUGUACCACAGACUCUAGCCAUGGAGGAGGACCUCUAUAUGGCUGACACAGAAACGUUUGAGCCAGAGCUGACGGAAGUACAAAGCAGGGACUCUGACAGUCCCAUGGAAAUUCAGCCAAGGAAAACCAUAGUGAACAGUCCAACUGAAAUCCAGAAAAGGGAGACAAUAAAAAGACUGGAGGAUGUGAAAGAAAGUGGUGAUCCCAAAUUUACUUCAGAAGUUUUGCCAAGGAGGUCGUUAAGAAAAUCUAGUCCGUCAACCGUGACCUGCUCUCAGGAUUCGAGAAAAGACAGUAUCAGUCUCAGCCCCAAACUUCCUGGAAGUCAGGCUAGCAGCCAGAGCAGAGAGUCAGGUUCCCUCAUUAACUCCCAAGGGGAGAUUAAAUCUUUCCAAAAAGCAAAGUCUGAGAAGACGAUGACUUUUGAUUUUGAUAUAGACGAAGAUGAUUCCAAAGAUUCUGAUGUUGGAUGUUUUGUUACCAAGAGGAAGCAUCAAGUCAGCCCCAGACAAGCAUUUGUUGGUAGUUCCCUGUCAAUAUCUGAGAGUGGGACUAAACGGGAUGUACAGGACAAGGCCGCCAGAGGUAAGGAAAGACUUACAAUAGACAUUGUGUCAUCAGAUUCUGAAGGAGAGAUCCCUGGCAAGGAGAGACUUCCUUCUGUACAUGAAAGCCCUAUUCUCUCUGUAAGGAGAAUCGGACACAACUUCACCAGGAAGAAACGUGCAAGCAUGACCACCACCAGACAGGAAGCCAUGUUGGAUGAUGAUUUCUUCAGCAAGGACAAUUCUGAUUUUGAAACAAAUAAGUCUGGAUUAAAAGUGAGGAAUUUGAGUCCUAAUUCAAAACAGCCUGCAGUAGCUUCAACGUCAAAGGACAGGAUCAUUCCAAUAAUUGUAACAGACACUUAUGAAAAGGAAUCUACUUCUGCCAGUACCUCUCAAGUUAAAGGGAAGAACUUUAGGAGUAAGUUGCACUUUGCUGACUCCGACGAUUCUGGGGAGGUAGUUGAGCCAGGACCGGAGCUGUGCACAGAAGGAAAGAUCCAGUGCCCAAUGUGUUCCAAGCUGUUCCGAGUUAACCUCAUAGAGCGGCAUGCCUCAGACUGUCUUGGUCAACAGGAGGUGACAUCAACAACAGGAGAUGAUGCACACCUGCAAGCUUCCGUAUCCAGAAGAUCCAGUCAUGAGGAUGGUAACAAGGGAGACUACUCUGGCAGGACUAGAACUGUUAAGGAACAAGUUCCAGAUGAUGAUGUAGAAGAGCCAGUACCAGUCAGAGUUAAGCCAAUACCACAAAGUCGGAAUAUGGAACAGUGCUGCGUUUGUAACAAGCUGGUGAGACAAGACCUCAUCGAGAAACACACAGAUCAGUGUAUAGCCAACAGAAUGCGGCAAGCAGAGGAAGUAGGGCAGGAUGUGUAUGACCUUGACCUUGAAGCUGAUGAACCAGAGCCAAGAGCCACCCGGUCCAGAGGACGAGGUACACAGAUGUCUAGUUUUGAAUCAACCUGGCAUCAGUUUGAGGACUUUAAUCAGUGAUUUGGUAACUUUUGGACCAAUUGGGGCACCAAAUUCCAUCAGGGAUGCAACGAAACGUAAAGUAUCGCAUAAUGGAGGAAGAAACAGAUUCUCU